rnacentral:rRNA from 5 species
UGGUUGAUUCUGCCAGUAGUCAUAUGCUUGUCUC